UACGAAGGGGGCUAGCGUUGUUCGGAAUCACUGGGCGUAAAGCGCACGUAGGCGGAUUCUUAAGUCAGGGGUGAAAUUCCGGGGCUCAACCUCGGAACUGCCUUUGAUACUGGGGAUCUUGAGUCCGGGAGAGGUGAGUGGAACUGCGAGUGUAGAGGUGAAAUUCGUAGAUAUUCGCAAGAACACCAGUGGCGAAGGCAGCUCACUGGCCCGGAACUGACGCUGAGGUGCGAAAGCGUGGGAGCAAACAGGG
rnacentral:rRNA from 1 species